GAUAGUCUAGGUACAGCUAGUACCCAAUGUACACUGGUGAUAGUCUAGGUACAGCUAGUACCCAAUGUACACUGGUGAUAGUCUAGGCUCAGCUGGUACCCAAGGAACACAAGCUAUAGUCUAGGUACAGUUGGUACCCAAGGUACAAUGGCUAGUCUAGGUACAGCUGGUACCCAAGGUACACUGGUGAUAGUCCAGGUACAGCACGUACCCAAGGUACACAGGUGAUAGUCCAGGCUCAGCUGGUACCCAAGAUACACUGGUGAUAGUCUGGGUACAGGUGGUACCCAAGGUACACUGGUGAUAGUCCAGGUACAGGUGGUACCCAAGGUACACUGGCGAUAGUCUAGGUAUAUAGGUUAGGUAUAGCCUGGUACCUAAGGUACACUGGUGAUAGUGUAGGUAGAUGGGUUAGGUACAACAUGGUACUUAAGGUACACUGGUUAGAGGUACACGAUGGAGGUACACAGGGAUACAGAAUUCUCAAUAUUUUACAGGAGCUACAGAUGUUUUGGAGACAGCCAAUUGCCUUCAAGCUUGACAAUCCACACUUUUAAUCCUUUGCCUUAUGUAACUUUACCAUUUAUCCAAAAGUUUAUACAUGAAUAUACUGUACAGUGCUUUCAUUUUGAAGUUGUUCAAUUAAAGUAAAUUUACAGAAUUUUAGUUCAAAGGAACUAUAUUCUCUUUCAAAAGGCAACUAAUUUGCAGGAUUUACUUUUUUCGACAUGACUGAAGCUUUGAUAAAUUAUUUCUAAAAAGAAACCAUACCUUGCCAGACUUUUAUGAAUAAAUAACGAAAAUGAAAUAAACAAAAUAUGAUAAACAAGUGUUAUAAAUAUAAAAAGAAUUAGCUAGGCUAUAAACCGUAUUUGAACCCUGGACUGUAAAUUGUUGUACUAUCGCUCUUACCGACCGAGUUACCUGGUCAUCAAAAGCCUCCUGGCCCUAAUGUGCUACAGUUUUAUCCUAAACGAAAUUAAGGGGAGGUUACUGCAUAUACAGAAGUUCACAGUGCAGUGGUACAGUGAUUGUUAACUUUCACUUUCCAUUCUCAACAAGAUAUCCCUUAUCAGCAAGUGUUACGUAUAGGGUCGGUAAAAAGUUGGUCUCGGAUUAGUCGAGUCCAGGUAAAUAGAUUCUACGUAUCAGAAAGCAUGUACAGUAUACACAAGUACAGGUUUACCUUUCUUAGAUGGAGUUUUUAUAACAUAGACCGGACAUUUUGGAAAACAAGUCCUUGAGCAGGUCUAAGGUAAGCUAUAUCACACAGUGGCAGUGUGAGCACUGAGGUGAAACCAAUAAAACUGAAACAAGGAAAUGUGUAUCACACAAAUAUUAAAGAAAAAAUCUGGUGAUGUAUGGGGACCAUUUCAUUUCACAUGUUAUUGUGUUUGAACAGUUUAUGGUCACCAAAGCAACCACAAUUAGCACUUCAGUUUCUUAUGGUACAUAUCACGAGAAAAACCAUGGUCACCAUAGAAACCAAUCUGUCACACUGUGAUUUCGGGUGUCACCAUUGGAAAACCCAUCGCCGAAACAGUUGCGAUAAACAUAGGAACUAUUAAGUAAAAUGUUAUCACACCAAAGUCUAUCUCAAAAGCACUCUCUUCACGAAAAAAAUCAACCCUUACUGAAUACUAAAACAUUAGCUGUAGAAGUGCUGGGUUGAAGACAUGGUUGACACACACACAGGCCAGUUAAUGCUCUUAGAGGAAAUUAAACAUAACCCCACAAUGUGCACACUACACUACAGUGCAAGGCAUACAUCACUAAGAUCUACUAGUCACAAACUGAAGCCUACAGGGAACACUGUACAGGUUCCAGUGUUAUCCUAAUUGCCCUGGUUAUGUAGAACUAUACAUGCUACCAUGGACAGAUCUACGGGGAGUUUGUCACAAAUGUUAAAGACAAUGCAAAAAUGGACCAUUUGAAAAAGGCCUUUUUUUAAUGGAUUAAAGACAGGAAAAAGUAGUAAAGUUAAAUACUUCAGAAUUAUUUUACAAACAUGGACAUGGGUAAUGACAGAAAGGAAGCAGUCUACACAUACAAGCCAUGACGGAUACUUAGUGCUGAAGCAUAUGACCUACCAAAACUCGAAAGUAUCAGGAUGGGAUCUAGGGAUGAAAUCAUAGAUAUAAUGCUACAAAGACAAUACUUCAGAUGUAAUUGUGUAUUUUAAGUACACAAAGUUUCAUAAAGUUUAAAGUUUUUUUGUUGUUUUUUUGUAAAUGCUGAAAACCACUCAUAUCAUCAGUUAAAUAAUAACCUCAACUGAAAAUCUGAAAUAGUAUUGCAGCUGUUCCCUGAGUGUAGUCUACAUCUAAAUAAAAUCACCUCUUUUUUACUGACUGAAAAAAACUCAGCAGUCUUUAUUAAAACAAGUUCACAAAGAUUCUCAACACUCAGCAUUCUGGUACAAACAUUUUGGUUAAGAGGAAAUUUGAGGGAAUUGAUCGCAAUCACACAGCAGGUUGGUAAGAUCUGUCGAGUAUAAAAA
rnacentral:lncRNA from 1 species